UUAAUUCUGCAAACACAACAACACAAUGUCAUUGACUAACUGUGAACAAACAUGAUAAAAUCAAAUAAACAUCUGCUUCAGCCAUAGAUAAUAUAGACCGCUUUAUCUUCAGUAUGAACAUGUUAACGCAUGUGUUUUGUAAUAUGAACAGUGACCCAGUCUCUGAAGCAAUUUAGAUUCUGUUGGGAAGAAACUGAUUUGUUAAGUAAAAACCGAAGUGUUGUUUUCCAUCCGCUCCACCGGGCGGCAGAAUCAGUCUUUAGGUUCAGUUUGAAACAUUCAGAUGCUUGACAACAUGACGCUUGAUAACAGUCACAACAACACGUGCAGACUGAUUUAAAUAUAGAUUCUGCAGAUGACAACUCAAUUACAGACUUAUAAUGUCACUUAACAGCACACACUUCAGCUCAUAAACAAACAAACGCUGUGAUAAACUAAUAAGGGAUGUUUGAAGUGUUACACUCAUGUGGACAGACAUUGACUGUAAUGAUGGACAUCUGCUGAAGCACAGGCAGAAGUAUAACCCCUGCUGGACGUUGUGCUGGAACUCGGGGAGGACACCAUGAUCCCCCACACCUUCUCACUCACACCAGACCAUUCACUCAUAUCACAGAGAUCUGGCUGGACUUGAACCAACAACCUCUGAAACCAUGAGGCAGCGCUCUUACCUCUGAGCCACAGAUCUCAUGUCUGAACAUGUGCAGGAACUUGUAUUUCACUAUUCUCCCUGUCAGUUUACAAUAAACCAGUUAAAUUUUGAACCCAUCACAGUCCUGAGUGUAAGUAAUGUGUGUUUGCACCAUUUUGUUGUAUAUAAUGCAAUACAUGAGCUUUAAUGUAAGCAAUAGUGGGGCUUGAACUCAGAACUCAAUGAUCCCAACACAACACUCUGCUUCUUGA